GACGAACGCUGGCGGCGUGCUUAACACAUGCAAGUCGAACGGAAAGGCCCUGCUUUUGUGGGGUGCUCGAGUGGCGAAAGGGUGAGUAACACGUGAGUAACCUGCCCUUGACUUUGGGAUAAUUUCAGGAAACUGGGGCUAAUACCGGAUAGGAGCUCCUGCUGCAUGGUCGGGGUUGGAAAGUUUCGGCGGUUGGGGAUGGACUCGCGGCUUAUCUGCUUGUUGGUUGGGUAGUGGCUUACCAAGGCUUUGACCGGUAGACGGCCUGGGAGGGUAACCGGCCACAUUGGGACGGAGAUGCGGCACGGACUACUACGGUAGGCAGCAGUGGGGAAGAGUGCACAACGGGCGGAAGCCUGAUGCGGCAACGCCGCGUGCGGGAUGACGUCCUUCUGGUUGUAAACCGCAUUCGCCUGUGACGAGGCGUGAGUGACGGUAAUGGGUAAAGAAGCACCGGCUAACUACGUG
rnacentral:rRNA from 1 species